GUGUUGGUUUAAUGACCUUGUAAAAAAUACAUAAAGUGUCAUUAUUAUUUUUUUAGAAGCAUGGUAAAAUAUAUAUCAGUUCAUGGGGGAAAAUGAAGGUGCUAUGAGUUAAUGUAUACAUGCAAAGUUGGUUAUUAAAAACUUAAAUUGCAAUAGGUGGUGAUUUUGGAAAAUUGAUUAUUGAUUUAAACGCAUUCUUAUAACGUGGGAAACUUCAUAGUUUUAGGGGAAACUAUGGCGAAUUUUUCUAAAAAUCUAAUCGCGAUUAAAGAGAGGAUUAAAGGGUGAUUAACAAUGUUAAACACGAUUAGUGGUCAUAAACGUCAUUUUGGAAACUCUAAGGAGGAUAUUUAAGUCUUAAAUAUUUAAUAAGUUUAUGAACUUAAACUUAUUUUUACAAAAAUAAAUGGGUGAAAAUAUAACAUUGUGUAAAUAUAAUUUCUGGUAAGAAAAACUAUAUAUUUUCGAAAACUUGCCAAGUGCUUGCAAUGUGUGCUAUGUAUGUGUAUGUAUUAGAUACCUAUAGGGUGAUCAAAAUAAAUACACGUACAUGUUUCUACAUGGUCCAAGAAAUGAUAGUAAAAGCAAAUCGGACAAUUAAAUAAAAUGGCCGAAAUGGAAAUACAUAACUCUUGAUGACGACAAUUUGGGCGUAUCGACAUCAUAAACAAGUUACUAUAAUGUCGAGUCUAAAAAUAACAUAUUUUUAGACACUAAAGCGAACGCAUAACUAAGUGGUCAAAAACAAGAAUCUGGAAAGUCGAAAACUAUACAAAUUUCCAAGUAUUUUUCAUAUGAAAAAUGAACUUAUUUAAAGUUUACUACUUGGUAACAUUUUGGUAAAAAUUGCAAGAUCAUGUUAAUGGACUCAUAAAGUUAGAAUUGGGCUUAUCAAAGCUAGUAAUGAGCUAGGCCCAAAUUCCUUAAUACAUGGGCUAUGGCCCAAUGACAAUAUGACAUGGGCUCGGCCCAAUGGCAUGAGCAAGGGCUCAAUUACACGUGUGCGCGGCACGAAGACAUAUGAAGGGUGAAGCCCGUUCACCUAUAAUUCAAUACGUAUAGAAUACAUGUAUGUACAUAACAAUCGAGCGAGUAAACUAUCAACGCUCUAAAAUACAAAGUUGUUCCAAAGAUGACAAACGAGAACAUAAUAAAGAAUUCAAGAUGAAUAACUUGUACGAGGUCCGAAAGACCUAGUGUCUAACGAGAUUAGUGCACAUGUCGGUUAUUGACACGUACGGACGCUCACUUCGAUAUCAUAGUACACGGAACGCAAACUUGUGAGUUCAUGUCCCCCCUUUUCUCUUAACUGUUUUCGGAUUUAUAACUCUCGGGGGUGAAAUACAUGUUACAUAUAUUUCAAAGGUAUGAUUUGGCUAUGAAAUGAACUAUUAGAUCAUGUGAGCAUAGGCUGAAACUGAAAUGCCAAUAACUCUAAUAAGAAACAUGGACAAAGGUUAGAUCUAACGGGUACGGCCGAGCCCCACUCAUGGUCCAUUUAUGACUACUUAGAGUGCUUUUGUGUCCCAGUCGAGGUGAUUCGACAACGGUCAAGGGGAUUUGACACAGUCAAGGUGAUUUGACACAGUCGAGGUGAUUCGACACAGUCGAGGUGAUUCGACACAGUCGAGGGGAUUCGACACAGUCGAGGGGAUUCGACACUAAUAAUAGCCCACUUGGGUUGGGUACUCCCUAUGUUUUCACAUAUAUUUAAUGUCCUUGCAAAACAUUAAUUGAUCUAUUCAUAGACGCUUUACAUACUUGUUUUCAAAGGAAUCUCUCAAAUGUUUACAAGUUUAUUGGAACUCAUACAAAACGCAUGAACUCGCUCAAGUUUUGUUGACUUUUUAAAACUACAUGUAUUUCAGGAAACAAGUCUUGAGCCGGUGAUACAUGAUUGGAUGCAAUGAUUACCUUUCUUACGUCACACGCAACACGCUUCCGCAACUAGCAGGGUGUGACAUAUAGACCAAGGGUGAAGAAGAGAAAAGGGAGGUGUGUAUCAAUGGUAUGCAAAAAGUGGAGGAUGAGUACUGGAGAAGAUGAUGGGAAUUUAGGGGUUUUGUGAUGUAAAUGAGUAUUAAUUUGUUUUUAAUAUGUGUUAGUAAAAGGGAAGGGGAAAUUACCAUAUUAAUUAC
rnacentral:lncRNA from 1 species